GUGGUGACUGCACCUCGGUCGGCUUACGCUUUAUAAUUACGAUGCCUCCUUGUUCGAGGAACAAACUCCCUCUCCGAUACACUGAAAACUAGGAAUUAAGAUCACUGACGUAUAAAUUAAUGAUUAUUAGCGCAGAAUAUUACAUGCUUUCCACUGGUAGCACAUUUUAAGAAAUUAAGCUAUAAAUUGAGGAUAACUAUUCGCAAUAGUCAAUAAACACAUCAGGAACACACCACAAGGCGCUUAUCUUUUCGCUGUACAAAUCAAAGUGACGCGUGCGAGCGUUUUGUUCAUAAUAUAGCACUGCACACUCAUAGCCAAAGGAUCUUGUGCGUAUGAAUUGAAUUCAGCGUUUCAAUGUGUGAAUAACUAUUUCCGUGCUUCGUGCGUGUGUCGCGUCUGACUUCAUGUGAGGAACAGCAGCCAAUAAUCGGACAUUGGUACUUUAAAUUCUGCCCCGGGUCAUUCAAAGCGCACAGCCACGCGCUAUACUGAAGAAAGAGGAAGAAAGUUGAUGGAAUCUAAAGACCAAUGUAAAGAUAAUUUUGGCUGUCGCUCCAGUGAUAAGGUGGCAGGAGGGAGACAGAGAGAAACGAGGCCUGACCUUCCCAGACGGAGAGUGUGAGCUCUGCCACUGUCCUCCACACCGGAGAGAUGACUGCUUCACAUCGCCUUCGAGAACGAUUGCGUGUGUGUUUGAGGUAGAAGUGUUGAGACGACACUUGAAGAUGCUGGUGAGGGACGGAAAAGUGAAAAAAAAUGUACCUUCUGCUUUUAUGCAUGCAACACAUCUGCUUGUCUGAUUCGGCACAAUAAAAAUCACUGCUGACACAACAA